rnacentral:rRNA from 1 species
CUCUCCAGCUUGCUCAUAUUCAUUAUCAGCUUCUACAGCCUGCCUGAGACUCUGCACCAUGAGAUUGCCACAGUUCAGGGGCGCUUCUUCUAGGCUGGCGAGGGCGAUAAGCAGAAGUACCACAUGAUUCGGUGGACGGAGAUCUGUAAACCUCGCAAUUAGGGCGGACUCGGGAUCAUGUCCUCUAAACGCAUGAACGUUGCUCUCCUGACUAGGUGGCUUUAGUGGAUUGCAAACGCAGAGGGUGGCCUGUGGCUUCGCAUCAUCCAGCAGAAAUACCUCCGUGAUCAGCCACUCGCCUUCUGCCUAUGGUCCAGUGGCUCCCAGUUCUGGCAAUCCAUCAUACAUCUCCUCCCAGUCCUCCGCAUCGGGACCUCGAUUGCGGUUGGAUCUGGCACCGGCACACUGUUCUGGUAUGAUAGAUGGGCUGGGCACACCCCUUCACGGCUCGCUUUCCUGACAUGUUCACCAUCACGGUAG